AUUGAACGCUGGCGGCAGGCCUAACACAUGCAAGUCGAGCGGUAACACAGAGGAGCUUGCUCCUUGGGUGACGAGCGGCGGACGGGUGAGUAAUGCCUGGGGAUCUGCCCGAUAGAGGGGGAUAACUACGGGAAACUGUAGCUAAUACCGCAUAAUGUCUACGGACCAAAGUGGGGGCUCUUCGGACCUCAUGCUAUCGGAUGAACCCAGGUGGGAUUAGCUAGUUGGUGAGGUAAUGGCUCACCAAGGCGACGAUCUCUAACUGGUUUGAGAGAAUGACCAGUCACACUGGAACUGAGACACGGUCCAGACUCCUACGGGAGGCAGCAGUGGGGAAUAUUGCACAAUGGGCGCAAGCCUGAUGCAGCCAUGCCGCGUGUGUGAAGAAGGCCUUCGGGUUGUAAAGCACUUUCAGCGGGGAGGAAGGGUCACUAGUUAAUACCUAGUGGCAUUGACGUUACUCGCAGAAGAAGCACCGGCUAACUCCGUGCCAGCAGCCGCGGUAAUACGGAGGGUGCAAGCGUUAAUCGGAAUUACUGGGCGUAAAGCGCACGCAGGCGGUUUGUUAAGUCAGAUGUGAAAUCCCCGAGCUCAACUUGGGAACUGCAUUUGAAACUGGCAAGCUAGAGUCUUGUAGAGGGGGGUAGAAUUCCNGGUGUAGCGGUGAAAUGCGUAGAGAUCUGGAGGAAUAC
rnacentral:rRNA from 1 species